rnacentral:rRNA from 1 species
UUUAUGGAGAGUUUGAUCCUGGCUCAGGAUAAACGCUGGCGGCGUGCCUAAUACAUGCAAGUCGAGCGAACGGACGAGAAGCUUGCU